UACGUAGGGGGCAAGCGUUGUCCGGAAUCAUUGGGCGUAAAGAGCGUGUAGGCGGCUCGAUAAGUCUGCUGUGAAAGCCCUGGGCUCAACCUGGGAAUGGCAGUGGAUACUGGCGAGCUAGAGUGUGAUAGAGGAUGGUGGAAUUCCCGGUGUAGCGGUGAAAUGCGUAGAGAUCGGGAGGAACACCAGUGGCGAAGGCGGCCAUCUGGAUCAACACUGACGCUGAGGCACGAAAGCGUGGGGAGCAAACAGG
rnacentral:rRNA from 1 species